rnacentral:rRNA from 1 species
GCCCUUAGAGUUUGAUCCUGGCUCAGGAUGAACGCUGGCGGUAUGCUUUACACAUGCAAGUCGUACGAGAGUUUUUAACUCAAGUGGCGGACGGGUGAGUAACACGUAAGAAUUUGCCUUUAGGAGGGGGAUAACAACUGGAAACGGUUGCUAAUACCCCAUAUGCUUUCGAGUAAAAUGGAUUUUCCGCCUAAAGAGAAGCUUGGCGGCUGAUUAGCUUGUUGGUGAGGUAAUGGCUCACCAAGGCGACGAUCAGUAUCUGGUUUGAGAGGACGAUCAGACACACUGGAACUGAGACACGGUCCAGACUCUUACGGGAGGCAGCAGUGGGGAAUUUUCCGCAAUGGGCGAAAGCCUGACGGAGCAAUACCGCGUGAGGGAUGACGGCCUAUGGGUUGUAAACCUCUUUUUUCAGGGAGGAAUCAAUGACGUGUACCUGAAGAAUAAGCAUCGGCUAACUCCGUGCCAGCAGCCGCGGUAAGACGGAGGAUGCCAGUGUUAUCCGGAAUCACUGGGCGUAAAGCGUCUGUAGGUGGUCAAAUAAGUCAACUGUUAAAUCUUGAGGCUCAACCUCAAAAUCGCAGUCGAAACUAUUCGACUAGAGUAUAGUAGGGGUAAAGGGAAUUGUCCAGUGGAGCGGUGAAAUGCGUAGAGAUUGGAAAGAACACCGAUGGCGAAGGCACUUUACUGGGCUAUUACUAACACUGAGAGACGAAAGCUAGGGUAGCAAAUGGGAUUAGAUACCCCAGUAGUCCUAGCCGUAAACAAUGGAUACUAGAUGUUGGACAGAUCGACCUGUGCAGUAUCAAAGCUAACGCGUUAAGUAUCCCGCCUGGGAAGUAUGCUCGCAAGAGUGAAACUCAAAUGAAUUGACGGGGAAGGGC